GGGCUAUUCCAGGAAUAGUUGCUUUACUGCCUGCUCUACAGUUUUGGCUUUAGUUUUGGUAAAGUUUUCUGUUGAGUCAUUUCUCAGUCUGUGUUCAGCCAAAAAGUCGGAUAAAGAGAAGUGAUCUGUGAUCAUGGAUACAACAAAUCUUCCAGUUCAAGAGAGUGACAUAUGGAUCAGCUGCAUCAGAUGUUUAGGAAAGAAGUGUGAAAACUACCAAGACAGCAGAACUGAGCUCUGUCCUGAUAGAAGUGAUGGUCCUCAAAAUACCUGGGCGUGUUCUAAUGAGCAUCACUCCAUGGAUACACCGAUCACUUUUGAAGGAAAUCAUUCCCAGUCUUCUCACAGGUUUUACACUUUAAAAGAAAGUCUUGCUGGUGGGAAAUCCAAUGUGUUAGAGGAAGCAGUUCAUCAUCCAACAACUAUGACAAAUCAAGGCCAGGUGAGUGUGUUCAGUUGCACCAGUAUCUUUCUUGAUUUACGUUAAUAAAGGAAUAAGGGCAUUAUCUUAUGCUCAUUGAAAUAGCAAAGGUGCAUGUGAAUAUAUCUAUGCAGAUGGGCGUAGUGGUCUCGAAAUGAGGUGUGUUUAGUUACAUUUCUGGUUUAUUUCUAUUUUAGCAACAGAAAACACAGGUGCUCCACUGACUGAUUUACAACCCUGACAACAGUCAACAGACAGAUGUUCAUUGCUAUCUUGAGCAGGUCAGUUUCCUCUGUUCCUCUGAAAUGAUAACUUUAUAAUGAACUGUACUAUUUUUAUUUUUUACAGGUGAACUCUCAGAACACCAGCUCUAAAUCUGUAUUAAACCAGUACAUCUGGAUUAUUCCUGCACUCUUCUUCAUCUUCAUCAUCGUCAAACUUAUAUUAUGCCUUGGACCUUCAUUUACUCAAAAAGGUACUCUUUCAUUAGAAUAUUGGUCUAGUCAUAAUUUAUUUAAGAAUUAUUUUAUUUGA
rnacentral:lncRNA from 1 species